CGUUUCUCAGCUAUGGAUGUGCGUGUCGCUGCGUUGGAGACCUUUGUGGCUAACUUAAACUCUUCCUUGUCCAAUACACUGGAUGCCAAAUUACCAUUGUAUUUUGAGCAGUUCUGUCGUGAGCUAGCUUGUAACCCAGCGCUGGGUCCUCCUCGAACACAAAUCCAGUACCUCCUCUUCUCUUGGCUGAGCAACCGGAAAUGGACCCUAUUCGCCCUCCUCGUCGCGAGCUCUAUGACGGCGGCGGCGGCCAUGCUCUAGUGACCUUUUAAUCUUGAGGGGGGAGGCAUUACAGUGGUUCCGUUGGUUAGAUAGUUUACAAUCUACACCACGUUGGGAGGAAUUCACCAAGGCGUUUUGUAAGGAGUUAGGGCCCUCAGAGUUUGAAGAUUGUACUGAAGCAUUAUUUAAAUUACGCCAAUCAGGUACCCUCAAAGACUAUACUACUGAGUUUCAUAUAUUAGUAACUCGUACUACUAAUGUUGGUCCUAUUUUGCGAAAGAGUUGCUUCCUUGGGUGUCUUAAAAAGGAGUUGAAAUUUGAUGUUAAACUGCUGCGUCCUAAUACUGUCCAUGAGGCUAUAGAUUUGGCUUUACAAAUUGACACUAAGCACUACGAACUGAGGAAUACACAUCCUAAACCUUCAGUACCUUCUAGACCUCAGAACCAAAGCAGUGCUCCAAGUUUUACCCAUGUACCUAGACAUGGUUCCUUGUAUGUUAAGAAACUUUCACCUAAAGAAA